UACGUAGGGGGCUAGCGUUGUCCGGAAUCAUUGGGCGUAAAGAGCGUGUAGGCGGCCCGGUAAGUCCGCUGUGAAAGUCGGGGGCUCAACCCUCGAAUGCCGGUGGAUACUGUCGGGCUAGAGUGCGGAAGAGGCGAGUGGAAUUCCUGGUGUAGCGGUGAAAUGCGCAGAUAUCAGGAGGAACACCAAUGGCGAAGGCAGCUCGCUGGGGACGGUACUGACGCUGAGGCGCGAAAGCGUGGGGGAGCAAACAGG
rnacentral:rRNA from 1 species